rnacentral:rRNA from 1 species
GAUGAACGCUAGCGGCAGGCCUAAUACAUGCAAGUCGAACGGUAAGUUUUCUUCGGAAGACACGAGUGGCGCACGGGUGAGUAACGCGUACGCAAUCUGCCUCUAUCAGGGGGAUACACACGGGAAACUGUGGAUAAUCCCGCAUACAAUUCAUGCUUGGCAUCAGGUGUGGAUAAAAGCUACGGCGGAUAGAGAUGAGCGUGCGUCUGAUUAGCUAGUUGGUGAGGUAACGGCUCACCAAGGCGACGAUCAGUAGGGGGCGUGAGAGCGUGGUCCCCCACACGGGUACUGAGACACGGACCCGACUCCUACGGGAGGCAGCAGUAAGGAAUAUUGGUCAAUGGGCGGAAGCCUGAACCAGCCAUGCCGCGUGCGGGAAGAAGGCCCUCUGGGUUGUAAACCGCUUUUGUCAGGGAAGAAUGGACGGGAUUUAUCCUGUUAGGGACGGUACCUGAAGAAUAAGCACCGGCUAACUCCGUGCCAGCAGCCGCUGUAAUAC